rnacentral:rRNA from 1 species
CAGCCGCCACGGUAAUACGUAGGUGGCAAGCGUUGUCCGGAAUUAUUGGGCGUAAAGGGCUCGCAGGCGGUUUCUUAAGUCUGAUGUGAAAGCCCCCGGCUCAACCGGGGAGGGUCAUUGGAAACUGGGAAACUUGAGUGCAGAAGAGGAGAGUGGAAUUCCACGUGUAGCGGUGAAAUGCGUAGAGAUGUGGAGGAACACCAGUGGCGAAGGCGACUCUCUGGUCUGUAACUGACGCUGAGGAGCGAAAGCGUGGUGAGCGAACAGGAUUAGAUACCCCCGUAGUCCCUGUCUCUUAUAC